rnacentral:rRNA from 1 species
UAGACCGCCUGGGGAGUACGGCCGCAAGGUUAAAACUCAAAUGAAUUGACGGGGGCCCGCACAAGCGGUGGAGCAUGUGGUUUAAUUCGAUGCAACGCGAAGAACCUUACCUGGUCUUGACAUCCACAGAAGUUUCCAGAGAUGGAUUGGUGCCUUCGGGAACUGUGAGACAGGUGCUGCAUGGCUGUCGUCAGCUCGUGUUGUGAAAUGUUGGGUUAAGUCCCGCAACGAGCGCAACCCUUAUCCUUUGUUGCCAGCGGUUAGGCCGGGAACUCAAAGGAGACUGCCAGUGAUAAACUGGAGGAAGGUGGGGAUGACGUCAAGUCAUCAUGGCCCUUACGACCAGGGCUACACACGUGCUACAAUGGCGCAUACAAAGAGAAGCGACCUCGCGAGAGCAAGCGGACCUCAUAAAGUGCGUCGUAGUCCGGAUUGGAGUCUGCAACUCGACUCCAUGAAGUCGGAAUCGCUAGUAAUCGUGGAUCAGAAUGCCACGGUGAAUACGUUCCCGGGCCUUGUACACACCGCCCGUCACACCAUGGGAGUGGGUUGCAAAAGAAGUAGGUAGCUUAACCUUCGGGAGGGCGCUUACCACUUUGUGAUUCAUGACUGGGGUGAAGUCGUAACAAGGUAACCGUAGGGGAACCUGCGGUUGGAUCACCUCCUUACCUUAAAGAAGC